rnacentral:rRNA from 1 species
UACGGAGGGUGCAAGCGUUAUCCGGAUUUACUGGGUUUAAAGGGUGCGCAGGCGGAUAUGUAAGUCAGUGGUGAAAUCUUUGGGCUUAACCCGAAAAUUGCCGUUGAUACUAUAUAUCUUGAAUGCUGUGGAGGUAAGCGGAAUAUGUCAUGUAGCGGUGAAAUGCUUAGAUAUGACACAGAACACCGAUCGCGAAGGCAGCUAACGAAGCUAGUAUUGACGCUCAGGCACGACAGCAUGGGGAGCAAACAGG